CAGUAGCCACGGGAAUGCGUAGGUGGCAAGCGUUGUCCGGAAUUAUUGGGCGUAAAGCGCGCGCAGGUGGUUUAAUAAGUCUGAUGUGAAAGCCCACGGCUCAACCGUGGGGGGUCAUUGGAAACUGUUAAACUUGAGUGCAGGAGAGAAAAGUGGAAUUCCUAGUGUAGCGGUGAAAUGCGUAGAGAUUAGGAGGAACACCAGUGGCGAAGGCGGCUUUUUGGCCUGUAACUGACACUGAGGCGCGAAAGCGUGGGGAGCAAACAGGAUUAGAUACCCCAGUAGUCCCUGUCUCUUAUAA
rnacentral:rRNA from 1 species